rnacentral:rRNA from 1 species
UACGUAGGGGGCGAGCGUUGUCCGGAUUCAUUGGGCGUAAAGAGCUCGUAGGCGGUUUGGUAAGUCGGGUGUGAAAACCCCAGGCUCAACCUGGGGACGCCACCUGAUACUGCUAUGACUUGAGUCUGGUAGGGGACCACGGAAUUCCUGGUGUAGCGGUGAAAUGCGCAGAUAUCAGGAGGAACACCUGUGGCGAAGGCGGUGGUCUGGGCCAGUACUGACGCUGAGGAGCGAAAGCGUGGGUAGCAAACAGG